UCUCAACAAAGGCUGAGAAGAUACUAAGUCACCAUGGACAGGGAAAAAGGGUCCUUUUGUAAUCUGAAAGUGGAAAGGAAAGGUUAGGGCUCAACACUGACUUUUCAGGUCACACAAAGGCAAGACAACGUUUUGGGGAGAAUAAUCUAAAUCUUGCUCACCUGGUGCUGAACUCACAGCUGGCAGCCAUUACUCAAGGAACAGCUCUUGGAGUCACCAUUGACAGUUCCCUGAAAACCUUGGCUCAGUGGUUGGUGGCAGCCAGAAAGCUGGGAAAAUGGUGAGCAUCCUCAGGGAAUCUGCUGAGAAGAAGGUGGAGGGCACCAUUUUGCUGCUCCAGCUUCGUGCACCCACAUCUGAGGACUUAUUAGAUGGUUCACAGAUGUGCACUGGAAAUUCCCUCAUUGGAAAUGAAAAGACAGGACAUCUGGUUUUUAAUGGAAAGCCAUGACUCUCAAGGCCACCAGUGACAGCCCUAUACCAUCUGGCCCAUUAAAACAAUAUUCCCAAAUACUUCUGUGCAUAUAGUAUGUCAUAUUUUCUUCAUAACAUGUGGCAAAAAGCACUUGGUUGGAAAAUGUACUAUUCACUGAAGAUGGUGGCAAACACCCCCAUGUCUGCUGUCCCACCCAGUGUGGGAGUUCAUCAUGCUCCUGCAGAGAAGCUGCCUGACGAUUCAGCAGAGAAAGGUGGCUGAGCACCAAGGGUGCCAAGCAUCUCUGGAAAUUGUAUCGUGUUGUUUUCAUUAGUUUCCAACCUUGGUAAGCUGGAAUUGACAGAACGCUCUGAGGGAGUUCAAAAUCAGAACAACUGAAUCACAGCAGACUCACUGGAAUGACAGAAGGCAACAGCAAGCAGAAGUCUGCGUGAGUCAUCCUCAAGACAGAGGCCAGUGAAAAGGGUGGGUGUGCUUUGUACUAAAGCACGUGGCUCUUCUGGGGACAUGAACUUCUCAGGGGCUUCUGCUGUCCUAUUCUGGUGUAAAUGCAAACAGUCUAUUGCUUUCUAUGAAUUGCUCUAGGUACGGAUGGGCGCUGUUAGGAGCAUGGAGUACAGUGCCACAAAGGGUGUUGGUCUGAUUCCCACACAUCAGCAGUGUCCCAGCACCCUUGUGUUUUGACAGUUUGUAAAACUGAUGUUGUGUAGUUCACAGUAGACAGCUGCCUGGUAAAUACAGCCACCACCAAGCUUUUGCUCAAAAUCCCAGAAGGAAAUGAGCUCCCCCAUCCUCUACAUAUCCUGUGUUUGUUUCUAGAAGGACAUGUUUUACCCUGCCAUCUUCAAAUCAAGUAGUUCAAAUCAAAGAGAUACAAACUGCUCAUCUCUGAUAGAGACUGAUAUCUCUUCAACAUGCUGAGGCUGCUCCCAAAUGUCCUUCUGUCAGAAUGAGCUGGGUGAGAUCAGGCAGUUUAAGUCAUCUGUUGGCUUGAUAAUUUAACUCCUUUUGACCCCAAAAGGUGAGGGAUAGCCCAAAUGAAUGCUCGCCCUAUCAGUGUGCCAGUGCAUGGGGGCUGAGCAGCCAAGUUCUCACCCUCAUGCUCCCUGCUGCUGAGUGCCAGACAGCAUGUUUGAGCUACUCCUUCCAAGUGACUCCAAAAGCUGCCUCUGGCCAGGCUCCUGAUGAAUUUUCCAUUCAGGGCACUGUUAUCUGCAAGAUGUUAUGCUUCCACAUCAUGGUCCAAGCAAGGAUCUCAAAGCUCUUCAUGGAUGCAAAUGAGCACAAUCUCACCAACAGCCUUCCAAGAGGGGGACCAUCAAAAGCCUCAGCUUGGAGCCAUAGUAAUGGAGCUAUUUCUCUUGGUCCAAGGAUGCACUGCUGUACCUCCCACCAAUGAUGGAACACCCUCAGCUACAGCCAGUGGCAGAAAGAGCUGAGGGCACUCAGCACAGUGACUGAAUGGGUUCCCAUCCUGGCAGGGAGAAAACAAAGGGCAACAUCCAGCCAACCUGUUAAAAGCAUCCCACAAGGUUGUACUCCUACAAAAGUGUCCACAAGCGAACCUCAGCACCUGCA